CACUCCUACGGGAGUCAGCAGUGGGGAAUAUUGCACAAUGGGCGCAAGCCUGAUGCAGCCAUGCCGCGUGUAUGAAGAAGGCCUUCGGGUUGUAAAGUACUUUCAGCAGUGAGGAAGGUGGGUAUGUUAAUAGCAUACUCAUUUGACGUUAGCUGCAGAAGAAGCACCGGCUAACUCCGUGCCAGCAGCCGCGGUAAUACGGAGGGUGCGAGCGUUAAUCGGAAUUACUGGGCGUAAAGCGCAUGCAGGUGGUUUGUUAAGUCAGAUGUGAAAGCCCGGGGCUCAACCUCGGAAUUGCAUUUGAAACUGGCAAACUAGAGUACUGUAGAGGGGGUAGAAUUUCAGGUGUAGCGGUGAAAUGCGUAGAGAUCUGAAGGAAUACCGGUGGCGAAGGCGGCCCCCUGGACAGAUACUGACACUCAGAUGCGAAAGCGUGGGGAGCAAACAGGAUUAGAUACCCUGGUCG
rnacentral:rRNA from 1 species